rnacentral:rRNA from 1 species
AAUGGCAGGUCAGCAUACUGCCGUGAAUAGUUCCCGGGCCUUGUACACACGCCCGUCACACCAUGAGAGUUGGGGAUACCCGAAGCCUGUGAGCUAACUAUUUAUAGGAGCAGCAGUCGAAGGUAGAAUCAAUGAUUGGGUGAAGUCGUAACAAGGUACC